rnacentral:rRNA from 1 species
AGUGAACGCUGGCGGUAGGCCUAACACAUGCAAGUCGAACGGCAGCACAGUAAGAGCUUGCUCUUACGGGUGGCGAGUGGCGGACGGGUGAGGAAUACAUCGGAUUCUACUUUUUCGUGGGGGAUAACGUAGGGAAACAUAUGCUAAUACCGCAUACGACCUACGGGUGAAAGCAGGGGUUCUUCGGACCUUGCGCGAUUGAAUGAGCCGAUUUCGGAUUAGCUAGUUGGUGGGGUAAAGGCCCACCAAGGCGACGAUCCGUAGCUGGUCUGAGAGGAUGAUCAGCCACACUGGAACUGAGACACGGUCCAGACUCCUACGGGAGGCAGCAGUGGGGAAUCUUUGACAAUGGGCGAAAGCCUGAUGCAGCCAGACCGCGUGGGUGAAGAAGGUCUUCGGGUUGUAGAGCCCUUUUAUUAGGAAAGAAAAGCUGCGUAAUUAUACCUGGACGUCCUGACGGUACCCAACGAGAAAGCAACGGCUAACUACGUG